CAGGAAAGAUCCAGAGUCUUGAAUGUUCCAAGAAUGAGCCAUUUCAGUUGUUAGCUGUCGACAGAACAGUUCUCUUUCUACCUGUCGGUACUGGCUCUCACGAUUCAGUGUCGAGCACUGAAUUUGUUCCAGAUUCACUUUCGUCCAAAACCCAACGAUCUUUAGAAUGAGCCUGAGUCAUUCCGUCAAUCAUUUCAAACGCAUAGUGUCCGCUUGGUAUUCCUGAAUGAAACGAAACGUUAGAGAAUCGAGGAUAUUGUUGGUGACGUCACUUUCGUACGAUUCUCUAAACUUAAAUGUCUUCCCUGGUGUUGCAAACAGAUGAACGGAAAUUCCUUUUUUAACGAUUUGCAGGUACUCGGGAGCGUAAUAAGCCCUGGUUCCUUUUGGGCCGCUGGUUGCAGACAUAGACCCGUCUGGCGCUGUGGGUUUACAGCAUCCGAAAUCCGAAAUUUUUAGAACAAACUUGUCGGAAAUGAGCACGUUUUCUGGCUUAACAUCUCGAUGGACAACAUCUUGAGCGUGGAUGUAAGCCAGUCCUCUUGUCAUUUGUCUCAAGGCUUCAACCUCCGGUGGCAUUUGACUAUCGAGCUGUUUAUUGCUGAACUUUUUAUCGCCGCAAAUAUAGUCACGAACAGUCCCCAUACAUCGUUCAAGUACCAGAUAUCUAACGAGUUAUUAUCGAAAUUAACGAAAUAUUAUCAAGUAUUAGUAUUGUUUAAAGUUAACGUUAAACUGUUUACUUGAAAUUUUCGUCUUCUUUGGCAUCAAACAGUUUUAGGACGUUAGGGUGAUCCAUUUUUCUCAUUGCAGUCUCCUCUCUGACAAGUAAUUCUUUGUCCGUCCUAUGUAUUUCAAUUCUCUUGACGGCCUUACCUUGAUCUGCUCCAAACACAAUGGCAAACGUUCCACACCCGAGAACUUCACUAUUGUCAUAGUGGGGAGCUUGUUACGGCACAUGUGUCGUCCAGGUGUGAGCAAAAAUGAAAACAAUCAAAUCGUCGGUUAUGUACAUUUUACCCCAGUAUUUCGUCACACUUCCAUUUUUACAAAUUAAAUAUACUCUUAGUUGUUUUAAUGGCUUCAAAGGUGGUUUUUGUAGAACCACCAGGUAAAAGAAAACAUUGACGGAUUUGUUAGUUAUGGCUGGAAUGUUUUUAAUUAAACUUAAAAUGUGCCCUGAAGACUUUAAAUAUGGUGUUUGAAAUGUU
rnacentral:lncRNA from 1 species